CAGUAAGCAGGUAGUGGAUUGGAUACUAAGUGACAAGGAAACAGAUUCAUGGACCUAGGAACAGCAAGAGAAGAAUAGAUGGAACAGCCACAGAAAAGCAAAAGUCUCAUGGGAAGUAACUGCGAUGAUCCCAUCAGGAAUGGAGCAAAGAGAAAUUGCCUCUAACUCAUCACACCUUCCUUCAGAAUGCAGCCUUGCUGUUGAAAAAAAGAAAAAUCAAAAUCAUACUCUCUGGCAUCAUACAGGAACCACAAGAAAAGUAAAGGGAGUCUAACUUCUCCAUAAAAUAAUAGCAGUUUUUACAGAAUACCCCUCUGUCUAAAAACUAUCAAUUUGCUUAUGUUGUUGUGAGUAAUCAAGAAGUAAUUUUGAUCUAAAAUAAACUUUAUCUGACAAAGA